GUUUAUUAGCUACAGCUGUACAUAUUCUAAAACCGGAACAAUACAGAGAAGAUUAGAAUGGCUCCCGUGCGAGGAUAACGCGGAAAUUCUUGAAGCAUUCUCCAGAAUG
rfam:Octopus bimaculoides Scaffold182331_contig_1, whole genome shotgun sequence.